CUUAUUUACACUUAUGUAAGGUGUGAAAAAUUGUGUGAGGCCAAUACGCUUAGCCCUCUUUGCUUCAGCUGACCUCUUCACAAGUGCAGAUGCUGUGAUCUCAUUUCUCUUCAUGUAUUUUGCUGACCUGAUGGGACAAAGACCUUCCAACCGGAUAGACUAUUAUUAUUUUUCAUGAAGAAGAUCAAAUCCUGUAACACUGUAGAAAAAUGUUCUGUGAGAAAGUGUUGAAGACUCUUUGUGGAAAUUAUGCCCAUCCGUUGAUUCUAAUUAAUUAUUUUGAAUAAUUGAUAAUAUAUUUGAUGUGGAUAUAUCAAGGUAUAUUUAUCAACUCUUCAAAUAAUGGAAAUUGAGUUUUUAAAUGUCUGUGCAUUCUUAAUGUUGUGUAGCUUGAAUCAUAUGUCAAAUUCAAGAACCAGGUAUCUUAAGACAAACCAACCAUCAAAUCUGGAGAAAAAUAGCUACUUUCAAGAAUACAUGCUAAAAUUGUUUAUGUUUAAAAAGUCCUUGAAAUAGCUAUAGGUUAGAAAGCAAUCUUGAAUUGGAAAAUGGUGGAACAGUGAGUGGCACAAGCAAUUUUCCCAGGAUAAAAUGCCUGCUACCUGGAAAUUAUCAACCUGAAGCUCCCCCCAAAAAUGGUGCAGAGGGCACUCCAGAACAUCAAGGGAAUGGACAGAGGAGAAGCAGAAAAUAGGAUCC
ensembl:lncRNA